rnacentral:rRNA from 1 species
GCAUGCGGCAGCUACCAUGCAGUCGAGCGGUAACAGGGGUAGCUUGCUACCCGCUGACGAGCGGCGGACGGGUGAGUAAUGCAUAGGAAUCUGCCCGAUAGUGGGGGAUAACCUGGGGAAACCCAGGCUAAUACCGCAUACGUCCUACGGGAGAAAGGGGGCUUCGGCUCCCGCUAUUGGAUGAGCCUAUGUCGGAUUAGCUAGUUGGUGAGGUAAUGGCUUACCAAGGCAACGAUCCGUAGCUGGUCUGAGAGGAUGAUCAGCCACAUCGGGACUGAGACACGGCCCGAACUCCUACGGGAGGCAGCAGUGGGGAAUAUUGGACAAUGGGGGCAACCCUGAUCCAGCCAUGCCGCGUGUGUGAAGAAGGCCCUCGGGUUGUAAAGCACUUUCAGCGAGGAAGAACGCCUAUCGGUUAAUACCCGGUAGGAAAGACAUCACUCGCAGAAGAAGCACCGGCUAACUCCGUGCCAGCAGCCGCGGUAAUACGGAGGGUGCAAGCGUUAAUCGGAAUUACUGGGCGUAAAGCGCGCGUAGGUGGCUUGAUAAGCCGGUUGUGAAAGCCCCGGGCUCAACCUGGGAACGGCAUCCGGAACUGUCAGGCUAGAGUGCAGGAGAGGAAGGUAGAAUUCCCGGUGUAGCGGUGAAAUGCGUAGAGAUCGGGAGGAAUACCAGUGGCGAAGGCGGCCUUCUGGACUGACACUGACACUGAGGUGCGAAAGCGUGGGUAGCAAACAGGAUUAGUCCCC